UAGUUUAACAAAGCAGGAUGAAUGAAAGAUUCACACAGCUUUGUGGAUGUCAUCACUCCAUCAGAAGAGGCCACUUUGUCAAGAACAAGGCAGGAGAUCAUGGGCUGGAAGAAGAGACUGU